GACGAACGCUGGCGGCGUGCUUAACACAUGCAAGUCGAGCGGUAAGGCCCUUUCGGGGGUACGACGAGCGGCGAACGGGUGAGUAACACGUGGGUGACCUGCCCUCAGCUCUGGGAGUAAGACCUCGGGAAACCGGGGUACUAAUACUGGAUAUGACUCCAUGACGCAUGUUGUGGGGUGGAAAGCCUUGUGCGGCUGAGGAUGGGCCCGCGGCCUAUCAGC
rnacentral:rRNA from 1 species